rnacentral:lncRNA from 1 species
AGCUCAUGUGCGGUGGCCCUGGUUUUCAAUUGUGAGGGAGAAACCUGCUUGGAGAUCCCCUCUCUUUGCUGAGAGCUUUCCUUUCACUUAAUAAAUUCUUCCCUCCUCACCCUUCAAUAUGACCACGUGCCUAAUUUUUCCUGGUCAUGAGACAAGAACUCUGAUUUAGCUGAACUAGGGAGCAAAAAUUCUGCAUCAUUUUGGCCUAUACGGGGGUUUGUCAGAAGGGAAAGAAAACUGGAUCUGAGGCAGAUGACAAUGGAAGUUAAGAGACAUAGCACAGGUAAGCAUGACUAAUUCCUGCCAAUUAAGCCAAGCCUCCCAUUUCAUGGAUAGUGGUCAUGCUAGUAUCUAUGGCAUGCAUGAGGUCUAGGGAACUUGAAAGCUACUGACAGCAAGGGGAAAGGCAGUGUGUGGGUAAGGGUGGAUAAUCCUACCCUCUAACCCACCUGUUAACAUGGGUGAAAAGGCACAUUGACACCCAUGGGCAGCACCCUGUCAUUGUCUUCAGGACUCCGGGAUACAAGGAAAGAAGGAAGAAAAGGGAUGCCUCUCUUGCCUCUCCCUCACAUACCCUGGGUAUUUGCUGGGAAGAGAAGGGAACUAGGCAUGCCUUGCUCCCCUCUUUCUAGAUGAGUAGCCAUUCA